rnacentral:rRNA from 1 species
CAAUAGCGUAUAUUAAAGUUGUUGCAGUUAAAAAGCUCGUAGUUGGAUUUCUGGGAGGGUGCCGCCGUCCGGCGUGUCCGUGUGCAGUGGCGCCCUUCCAUCCUUCUGUUAGCGUCUCUUGGCAUUCAUUUGCUGGUGGCGGGCUCAGAUAUUUUACCUUGAGAAAAUUAGAGUGUUUCAGGCAGGCUAGGCCGGAAUACAUUAGCAUGGAAUAAUGGAAUAGGACUACGGUCUCUUUGUUGGUUUGAGGGGCUGCAGUAAUGAUUAAUAGGGAUAGUUGGGGGCAUUAGUAUUUAAUUGUCAGAGGUGGAAUUCUCAGAUUUGUUAAAGACUAACUUAUGCGAAAGCAUUUGCCAAGGAUGUUUUCAUUAA